rnacentral:rRNA from 1 species
GAACGGGUGAGUAACGCCGUGGGAUAAACCUGCCUGAAUGACUGGGACAACACCGGGAAACUGGUGCUAAUACCGGAUACGCUCAUCAUUGCGCAGGCAAAGGUGAGGAAAGGAGAAAUCCGCAUACAGAUGGGUCCGCGCCCCAUUAGCUAGUUGGCGGUGUAAGAGACCACCAAGGCGACGAUGGGUAGCCGGCCUGAGAGGGUGGACGGCCACACUGGAACUGAGACACGGUCCAGACUCCUACGGGAGGCAGCAGUGGGGAAUCUUCCGCAAUGGGCGAAAGCCUGACGGAGCAACGCCGCGUGAGUGAGGAAGGCCUUCGGGUCGUAAAACUCUGUCUUCAGGGAAGAAAAAAAUGACGGUACCUGAGGAGGAAGCCCCGGCUAACUACGUGCCAGCAGCCGCGGUAAAACGUAGGGGGCGAGCGUUGUCCGGAAUUACUGGGCGUAAAGGGCGCGUAGGCGGUUAUUUAAGUCAGAGGUGAAAACUACCGGCUCAACCGGUAGCCUGCCUUUGAAACUGGAUGACUUGAGGGCAGGAGAGGGGAGUGGAAUUCCCAGUGUAGCGGUGAAAUGCGUAGAUAUUGGGAGGAACACCAGUGGCGAAGGCGGCUCUCUGGCCUGUUUCUGACGCUGAGGCGCGAAAGCGUGGGGAGCAAACGGGAUUAGAUACCCCGGUAGUCCACGCCGUAAACGAUGGGUGCUAGGUGUAGGAGGUAUCGACCCCUUCUGUGCCGUAGUUAACACAAUAAGCACCCCGCCUGGGGAGUACGGCCGCAAGGUUGAAACUCAAAGGAAUUGACGG